AGAGUUUGAUCAUGGCUCAGAUUGAACGCUGGCGGCAGGCCUAACACAUGCAAGUCGAGCGGUAGAGAGAAGCUUGCUUCUCUUGAGAGCGGCGGACGGGUGAGUAAUGCCUAGGAAUCUGCCUGGUAGUGGGGGAUAACGCUCGGAAACGGACGCUAAUACCGCAUACGUCCUACGGGAGAAAGCAGGGGACCUUCGGGCCUUGCGCUAUCAGAUGAGCCUAGGUCGGAUUAGCUAGUUGGUGAGGUAAUGGCUCACCAAGGCGACGAUCCGUAACUGGUCUGAGAGGAUGAUCAGUCACACUGGAACUGAGACACGGUCCAGACUCCUACGGGAGGCAGCAGUGGGGAAUAUUGGACAAUGGGCGAAAGCCUGAUCCAGCCAUGCCGCGUGUGUGAAGAAGGUCUUCGGAUUGUAAAGCACUUUAAGUUGGGAGGAAGGGCAUUAACCUAAUACGUUGGUGUCUUGACGUUACCGACAGAAUAAGCACCGGCUAACUCUGUGCCAGCAGCCGCGGUAAUACAGAGGGUGCAAGCGUUAAUCGGAAUUACUGGGCGUAAAGCGCGCGUAGGUGGUUCGUUAAGUUGGAUGUGAAAUCCCCGGGCUCAACCUGGGAACUGCAUUCAAAACUGACGAGCUAGAGUAUGGUAGAGGGUGGUGGAAUUUCCUGUGUAGCGGUGAAAUGCGUAGA
rnacentral:rRNA from 1 species